GCCAGGGAAUCUCGCAUCUAAGGGGAGAGCUCCCCCAGCCCCCACCUCGAGAAAGCGGCCCCGUGUGAACUCUGGGGAGGGACACAGGGCAGGCUUCCUGGAGGAGGUGGCAGGUAGAGAGGAGACUGAAGAGGACAGAGCUUUCCAAAAAGGGCACACACCUGAUGACAACAUACAGAGAAGCUGUAUGCUUCUGUGACACACCAAGAGGCUGAGAGAAACCAGCAGGCAGACCGGAGAGGACUCCCAGGUAGGCAGCCAGUGAGUCAGCGGUGACAUGGCCAGAGACAAGAUCCAGGAGUCCGGGAUCGCAAGCACCACCUCGCCCCAGCCCCAGAGACCUCUCAAGCACCCCUCUGAGUGAGCAAGAUGAAGCCUGGUUCUGACUCCCAGACAUGGACUC